AUGUUCCUUAGAGUUCCUCUAAACACUUCACUUCACUGGAAUGUCUUCUUUUAGAUUUCCUAUUGAAGUGUUUGGAGGAACUCCAAGAGCCGC
rnacentral:pre_miRNA from 2 species